rnacentral:rRNA from 1 species
GACGAACGCUGGCGGCGUGCUUAACACAUGCAAGUCGAACGGAAAGGCCCUUCUUUUGUGGGGUGCUCGAGUGGCGAACGGGUGAGUAACACGUGAGUAACCUGUCCUUGCCUUUGGGAUAACUUCAGGAAACUGGGGUUCAUACCGGGUAGGAGCUCCUGCUGCAUGGUGGGGGUUGGAAAGUUUCGGCGGUUGGGGAUGGACUCGCGGCUUAUCAGCUUGUUGGUGGGGUAGUGGCUUACCAAGGCUUUGACGGGUAGCCGGCCUGAGAGGGUGACCGGCCACAUUGGGACUGAGAUACGGCCCAGACUCCUACGGGAGGCAGCAGUGGGGAAUAUUGCACAAUGGGCGGAAGCCUGAUGCAGCAACGCCGCGUGCGGGAUGACGGCCUUCGGGUUGUAAACCGCUUUCGCCUGUGACGAAGCGUGAGGGACGGGAAUGGGUAAAGAAGGACCGGCUAACUACGUG